AUGUUCCGUAGGUGAACCUGCGGAAGGAUCAUUACCGAGUGUAGGGUUCCUAGCGAGCCCAACCUCCCACCCGUGUUUACUGUACCUUAGUUGCUUCGGCGGGCCCGCCAUUCAUGGCCGCCGGGGGCUCUCAGCCCCGGGCCCGCGCCCGCCGGAGACACCACGAACUCUGUCUGAUCUAGUGAAGUCUGAGUUGAUUGUAUCGCAAUCAGUUAAAACUUUCAACAAUGGAUCUCUUGGUUCCCGCAUCGAUGAAGAACGCAGCGAAAUGCGAUAACUAGUGUGAAUUGCAGAAUUCCGUGAAUCAUCGAGUCUUUGAACGCACAUUGCGCCCCCUGGUAUUCCGGGGGGCAUGCCUGUCCGAGCGUCAUUGCUGCCCAUCAAGCACGGCUUGUGUGUUGGGUCGUCGUCCCCUCUCCGGGGGGGACGGGCCCCAAAGGCAGCGGCGGCACCGCGUCCGAUCCUUCGAGCGUAUGGGGCUUUGUCACCCGCUCUGUAGGCCCGGCCGGCGCUUGCCGAACGCAAAUCAAUCUUUUUCCAGGUUGACCUCGGAUCAGGUAGGGAUACCCGCUGAACUUAAGCAUAUCAAUAAGCGGAGGAAAA
rnacentral:misc_RNA from 1 species